CAACCCGUGCAGCAAUGUACGGCUGAACUGUCAGAAGUCAGCAGAGGCCAUACUACUCAUACCUGGUGUACACGGGUAGGGGGAAGGGC
rfam:Actinobacteria bacterium CG2_30_50_142 cg2_3.0_scaffold_2040_c, whole genome shotgun sequence.